rnacentral:miRNA from 1 species
AUCACCUGGGGACCUUGUUAAAAUACAGACUCUGGUUCUGAAGUCUAGGAUGGGGCCUGGGAUUCUGCAUUUCUAACAAGCUUUCAGUUGAUGCUAAU